rnacentral:lncRNA from 1 species
GGUCAAUCUGGAAGACCUGUGCUCCGGUGGUGAAGAUGGGCUGUUCUUCCAUCCCCGGCACUGCUCCGGCGGCCACUCCGACCCGGCCUCUCACGCUCACUGUCCGCCCACAUGGCGUCUGCUCCCGGCGCGGCAGCCUGUUGAGAAAAAUGAAGAGCCCUGUAAUCCUGAGGAGGUGGCUUAAUCCAAAGAGAGAUGCUCCAGGUCCUGUGCACAUGAAAGAUUUGCCUGCUUCUGCCCAUCUAGGAGCUUACUUCCUGAAGCCUUCAGGAGGCAGGAGGCUAAAUGAGUUUCUCAGGACAAUCUAAUCAUAUCCUGACAGGGAGAAAAAAAUC